rnacentral:rRNA from 1 species
CUCCUACGGGAGGCAGCAGUGGGGAAUAUUGGACAAUGGGGGCAACCCUGAUCCAGCCAUGCCGCGUGAACGAUGAAGGCCUUCGGGUUGUAAAGUUCUUUUGACGGGGACGAUGAUGACGGUACCCGUAGAAUAAGCACCGGCUAACUUCGUGCCAGCAGCCGCGGUAAUAC